rnacentral:rRNA from 1 species
AUUGAACGCUGGCGGCAUGCCUUACACAUGCAAGUCGAACGACAGCGCGGACUUCGGUCUGGCGGCGAGUGGCGAACGGGUGAGUAAUACAUCGGAACGUACCCUGUUGUGGGGGAUAACUAGUCGAAAGAUUAGCUAAUACCGCAUACGACCUGAGGGUGAAAGUGGGGGACCGCAAGGCCUCACGCAGCAGGAGCGGCCGAUGUCUGAUUAGCUAGUUGGGGGGGUAAAGGCCCACCAAGGCGACGAUCAGUAGCUGGUCUGAGAGGACGAUCAGCCACACUGGGACUGAGACACGGCCCAGACUCCUACGGGAGGCAGCAGUGGGGAAUUUUGGACAAUGGGGGCAACCCUGAUCCAGCAAUGCCGCGUGUGUGAAGAAGGCCUUCGGGUUGUAAAGCACUUUUGUCCGGAAAGAAAUCGCGCUGGUUAAUACCUGGCGUGGAUGACGGUACCGGAAGAAUAAGCACCGGCUAACUACGUGCCAGCAGCCGCCGUAA